GUUUGAUGGAAGACAGG
rnacentral:misc_RNA from 1 species